GUAGAGAGAAGCUGCUUCUCUGAGAGCGCGGACGGGUGAGUAAAGCCUAGGAAUCUGCCUGGUAGUGGGGGAUAACGUUCGGAAACGGACGCUAAUACCGCAUACGUCCUACGGGAGAAAGCAGGGGACCUUCGGGCCUUGCGCUAUCAGAUGAGCCUAGGUCGGAUUAGCUAGUUGGUGAGGUAAUGGCUCACCAAGGCGACGAUCCGUAACUGGUCUGAGAGGAUGAUCAGUCACACUGGAACUGAGACACGGUCCAGACUCCUACGGGAGGCAGCAGUGGGGAAUAUUGGACAAUGGGCGAAAGCCUGAUCCAGCCAUGCCGCGUGUGUGAAGAAGGUCUUCGGAUUGUAAAGCACUUUAAGUUGGGAGGAAGGGCAUUAACCUAAUACGUUAGUGUUUUGACGUUACCGACAGAAUAAGCACCGGCUAACUCUGUGCCAGCAGCCGCGGUAAUACAGAGGGUGCAAGCGUUAAUCGGAAUUACUGGGCGUAAAGCGCGCGUAGGUGGUUUGUUAAGUUGGAUGUGAAAUCCCCGGGCUCAACCUGGGAACUGCAUUCAAAACUGACUGACUAGAGUGUGGUAGAGGGUGGUGGAAUUUCCUGUGUAGCGGUGAAAUGCGUAGAUAUAGGAAGGAACACCAGUGGCGAAGGCGACCACCUGGACCAACACUGACACUGAGGUGCGAAAGCGUGGGGAGCAAACAGGAUUAGAUACCCUGGUAGUCCACGCCGUAAACGAUGUCAACUAGCCGUUGGGAGCCUUGAGCUCUUAGUGGCGCAGCUAACG
rnacentral:rRNA from 1 species